CCUACGGGAGGCAGCAGUGAGGAAUAUUGGUCAAUGGCCGAAAGGCUGAACCAGCCAAGUCGCGUGAAGGAAGAAGGAUCUAUGGUUUGUAAACUUCUUUUAUAGGGGAAUAAAGGUAUCCACGUGUGGAUCUUUGCAUGUACCCUAUGAAUAAGCAUCGGCUAACUCCGUGCCAGCAGCCGCGGUAAUACGGAGGAUGCGAGCGUUAUCCGGAUUUAUUGGGUUUAAAGGGUGCGUAGGUUGUUUUUUAAGUCAGCGGUGAAAGUGUGUGGCUCAACCAUAAAAUUGCCGUUGAAACUGGAAGACUUGAGUGUGUUUGAGGUAGGCGGAAUGCGUGGUGUAGCGGUGAAAUGCAUAGAUAUCACGCAGAACUCCGAUUGCGAAGGCAGCUUACUAAGCCAUAACUGACACUGAAGCACGAAAGCGUGGGGAUCAAACAGGAUUAGAUACCCCUGUAGUC
rnacentral:rRNA from 1 species